rnacentral:rRNA from 1 species
AUUGAACGCUGGCGGCAUGCCUUACACAUGCAAGUCGAACGGCAGCGCGGGGCAACCUGGCGGCGAGUGGCGAACGGGUGAGUAAUAUAUCGGAACAUACCCUAGAGUGGGGGAUAACGUAGCGAAAGUUACGCUAAUACCGCAUACGCACUAAGGUGGAAAGUGGGGGAUUCGCAAGAACCUCAUGCUCAUGGAGUGGCCGAUAUCUGAUUAGCUAGUUGGUGAGGUAAAGGCUCACCAAGGCGACGAUCAGUAGCUGGUCUGAGAGGACGACCAGCCACACUGGGACUGAGACACGGCCCAGACUCCUACGGGAGGCAGCAGUGGGGAAUUUUGGACAAUGGGGGCAACCCUGAUCCAGCAAUGCCGCGUGAGGGAUGAAGGUCUUCGGAUUGUAAACCUCUGUCACUGGGGAAGAAACGCUUCAAGUUAACAGCUUGAAGCCUGACUUAACCCGGAGAGGAAGCAGUGGCUAACUCUGUGCCAGCAGCCGCG